rnacentral:rRNA from 1 species
AGAUUGAACGCUGGCGGCAGGCCUAACACAUGCAAGUCGAGCGGUAGAGAGGUGCUUGCAUCUCUUGAGAGCGGCGGACGGGUGAGUAAUGCCUAGGAAUCUGCCUAGUGGUGGGGGAUAACGUUCGGAAACGGACGCUAAUACCGCAUACGUCCUACGGGAGAAAGCAGGGGACCUUCGGGCCUUGCGCUAUCAGAUGAGCCUAGGUCGGAUUAGCUAGUUGGUGAGGUAAUGGCUACACCGAAGGCGACGAUCCGUAACUGGUCUGAGAGGAUGAUCAGUCACACUGGAACUGAGACACCGGUCAGACCUCCGUAGGGAGGCAGCGAGGUGGGGAAUAGUUGGAACUAAGUGGGACGAAACGCCUGACUCCAGCCAUCGCCGUCGUGUGUGAAGUAGUCGUCG